rnacentral:lncRNA from 1 species
ACGCAGGCUGUGUGGAAGCAGUGGAAGAUGAUGUCAUAGUAGAAUUGGAGCAUGUGAAUGUGAAAGACAAUAUGAGCGUAUGUGUGGAUGAAAUGAGAGGAGGAGAUGGUGGGAUUGUGCCUCAAGUGGGUAUGAAGUUCAAGGACGAAAAUGAAGUUUACGAGUUCUAUAAGAGAUAUGCAUAUGAGGUUGGUUUCCUAGUCAGGAAAAGAAAUUCAAAGAAAGAUGACGAUGGGAUUUUGCAAUAUGUGACGUUGACAUGUAGUCGUGAAGGACGACGAAGCGGUUGUACGAGCAGCUCUUUGAAGCCGCAACCAACAAUCCAGACAGGUUGUAAAGCCAGGAUCUCUACAGCUUUCGAUUAUCAAGGUUUCUGGGUAAUUAGAACAGUACACCUGGACCACAACCAUAAGACAAGUCCUUCGAAGUCAAGGUUGUUUAGAUGCAACCGAGAAAGAAGUGCACAUGUGAAAAGGAAGAUUGAAGUGAAUGACCUGGUAGGGAUUCCGUUGCACAAAAGCUUCAACUCUGUAGUUGUUGAAGCAGGAGGUUAUGAGAAUCUUAGUUGUGUGGAAAAGGACUGUAGGAACUAUAUCGAAAAAGUGAGGUGGUUAAAACUUGGGGAGGGAGAUGCAGCAGCAAUACAGUCUUACUUUUCAGAAAUGCAAGCAGAGUGCUCGGGAUUUUACUUCAGUAUUGAUCUGGAUGAAGAUUCAAGGUUGAGAAAUGUUUUUUGGGCAGACAAUCGAUGUCGUCAAGCAUAUAAGGAGUUCAGGGACAUUGUGACGUUUGAUACAACAUACCUCACUAAUAAAUAUGAUAUGCCGUUUGUCCCAUUUGUUGGCGUAAAUCACCACGGACAAUCAAUGUUUUUUGGUUGUGGUUUGUUAUCAAAUGAGAACACAGAUACUUUUGUUUGGCUAUUUAGGACAUGGCUUAAGUGCAUGCACAGUCAAGCGCCUCAUGGAAUAAUAACCGAUCAAGACAGGGCCAUGCAAAAUGCAAUACAAAUAGUUUUCCCUGAUACGAAGCACAGAUGGUGUUUAUAGCAUAUUCUAAAGAAAUUGCCAGAGAAGUUUGGUUACCAUGUGGACAAGGGAUCUAUAUUUUUGGCUAUAUACGUAUUGGUGUAUGAUUCGCAGAAUGUCGAAGAAUUCGAGGCCGGUUGGAAAAUAAUGAUAGAUAAAUAUGAGUUGCAAGAUAGUGAAUGGUUGUCAGGUCUUUACGAAAAUAGAGGUCGAUGGGUUCCUUGCUUUCUAAAAACAUCAUUCUGGGCCGGAAUGUCAUCAACACAACGAUCUGAGAGUAUGAAUACCUUUUUCGAUGAAUAUGUGCACUCGAAAACAUCGCCGAAGUAAUUUGUGGAACAGUAUGAACGUGCACUACGGAACAAGGUGGAGGAGUUCCAAGCUGAUUUCAAGUCAUUUUCGCAAAUGGUUCCGUGUGCAACGACGUAUGAAAUUGAGCAACAAUUUCAGGCAGUAUACACAAUUUCAAAAUUCAGGGAAGUGCAGGUAGAGUUAGCAGGGAAGGUAUAUUGUGACAUCAUAUCUACGGCUGAUGUUUAUUCGGGGUCGACCUACGAGGUAUGCGACGAUGUGCUAUGUGGGGAUCGGCGAAAGAGAAAAAGAUUCGUAGUGUUAUUUAAUAGGGAGAACUGUGACAUUGUCUGCACUUGUCACUUGUUUGAGUUUCGGGGAGUUCUUUGCAGGCAUGCAAUCGUAGUACUCAUCUGUAAUGACGUCCGUGUACUCCCAGACAGGUAUGUACUUCGAAGAUGGAGGAGGGAUGUUAGUAGAGCACACACUAGGAUCGAUGUUAUCUACAGUGGGUUGGUCAGCACUCCCGGACAGUUGCGUUAUGAUAGAAUGUGUCAGGCUUUCGCUACCAUUACCGAUCUAGCUGCAGAAGACGGAGGUCGGACCCAUGCAAUUAUGGAAUGGAUAGGAAUUCAAGAGAAGGAACUCAUGAGUUCGAGGUUGAUCAGUGGAAGCAAUGUUCUACUGCAACGUACUACUCAAGUGUCAUUGAACAACAUAGGUUCGUAAAAGAAUGUAAGUUGCACAGUACUGGACCCUAACGCGGUGAACAAGAAGGGUGCACCUAAAAGAGUUCGAAGAAAGGGCCCGUUUGAGUCAACGUCAAAGAAACCAACGGUAAGUUCGCGUGUUACCUUCUGAAGUGAAACGGAUUCCUAACAU